UUUGAUCUUUGCUUUGAGAGAACAUGGGCUAUCUUUUUCUUUCUCUUUUUUUCAGGUGGGUAGUAGACACCCCUAAUUCUACUGUCGGACACUUGUCCAUUUUUUCCGCUCAAGUGGGCAUCUUUGUACCCCUCAUUCUACUUCGGACACUUGUCCAUUUUUACCUCUCGUCUCACUCUUUUUCUUUUAUCGAGGUUCCGGGCACUUGCCUCUUUUUAUUUCCUUGCAUAUUUUUGCAUAACCCAUGCCUCUUCUGCAUUGAAUCUUUUUAGAGAGAGAAUAACAAUAUUUGGGACAGUGAGUGAUAAUAUUUUUAGCAAUUUUAAUGAAUGUUGUGGUAGACGUGUGCAAGUGAAUAUCUUAAUUUAACCACAUGAAAAGCUCUUAAGGGUCUACACAGCUCGAUCAAACUCAAUGUAAAUAUAGUAAAAGAUGUUUUAGCAAGUAUGGCUGUGGUAGGUAGUUUGUU
rnacentral:lncRNA from 1 species